rnacentral:rRNA from 1 species
UACGUAGGUGGCAAGCGUUGUCCGGAAUUAUUGGGCGUAAAGCGCGCGCAGGCGGUUUCUUAAGUCUGAUGUGAAAGCCCCCGGCUCAACCGGGGAGGGUCAUUGGAAACUGGGAAACUUGAGUGCAGAAGAGGAAAGUGGAAUUCCAAGUGUAGCGGUGAAAUGCGUAGAGAUUUGGAGGAACACCAGUGGUGAAGGCGACUUUCUGGUCUGUAACUGACGCUGAGGAGCGAAAGCGUGGGGAGCGAACAGG